GGCACGGUGGUGCAGUGGUGGUGCACUGUUGCCUCACAGCAAGAGGGCUCUGGGUUCGAACCCCCGGCCAGCUG